AGAUUGGACUGGUUUAGAUGAAGAUGAAGAUGCGCACGUCUGGGAAGACAAUUGGGAUGAUGACAAUGUAGAAGAUGAUUUCUCCAAUCAGUUAAGAGCUGAAUUAGAAAAACAUGGAUACAAGAUGGAAACCUCGUAGUUUUUUGCUGAAUAUGGAGUUUAACAUUGAACUGUGGAUAGAUUAUAUUGAGAAAAGAAGAAAAGGUUGAAAAUGAGAAGACACACUUAGUUCAUUAUCUGCUUGGAUUUAUUAUUGUUUUGUAUAAAAAAAUAAAGUUUUUUUUAAUCUUA